ACCGCGGUAGCGCAGUAGUUAGUGGCGUCGUCAGUACAGAUGCCGAAUGCCGAAGGUCGCAGGUUCAAAUCCUGCCUGCGGUG